rnacentral:rRNA from 1 species
AGGUCCCUACGGGGCGCAGCAGUGAGGAAUAUUGGUCAAUGGGCGAGAGCCUGAACCAGCCAAGUCGCGUGAAGGAUGACGGCCCUACGGGUUGUAACCUUCUUUUGUCAGGGGGCAAUUGGGUCCACGCGUGGGCUUAGCGAGAGUACCUGAAGAAAAAGCAUCGGCUAACUCCGUGCCAGCAGCCGCGGUAAUACGGAGGAUGCGAGCGUUAUCCGGAUUUAUUGGGUUUAAAGGGUGCGUAGGCGGAAUAUCAAGUCAGCGGUAAAAAUUCGGGGC